AUGCCAUGAUGAGGACUCUUUCUCAAUAAUUAUUUAAACCUUUCCCAUGAGUCAUAUAAUCAUUCCCUGUUAGUCUAGAAGAAGUUAUUAAUCUCUCAUCUCAACCU